rnacentral:tRNA from 1 species
UGGGCCGGUAGCUCAGUUGGUUAGAGCGCACGACUGAUAAUCGUGAGGUCGGAAGUUCGAAUCUUCCUCGGCCCACCAC